AGCUCUCCCCCCCCCCCCCCCCCCCUCGGGAGGCCCUCCCGGCGGAGGCCGGGCUUGCGCUGGUGGUGGGUCACGCGCCUGCGAGCAGAGGAGCUCUGCUCUGCAGUGGGCCGAGGGGCGGGCUGCGGUUUUCCGUGGAGCUUCCCAAGGCCGCUGGCGCGCAGGCCGGCCAUCAGCGCUUCCUCGCUGCUGGUUACUGCUCGUUUUCGUUUAGUGGGGACUGAGUCGCUCUUUAUACACGCCUCCGAAAUAGAAAUGCCACUGGAGAUUUUCUGUAAAGCUGGUAAAAUGAACUGUUACAGAUAUUUCUGCUGUGACUGCGAACUGCACUUACUGAGUAGGUCAUGGGCCCUGACUGGAGAGAUGAAACAACAACACGGAGAAAAGAGCUGUAGGCAGAGACUUUGUAGUCAAGAGGUAUGUGGUCAUGGGCUUUUCUUUCCUUUAGGGCUUUCACUCGUACAUGUCUGGACUUUGUGCAUCUGAGCAAGACCUCAAGUAGCCCAAGAAAAAUAACUUCGUAGACUCUAAACUGAUAGCUGGCAGACUGAAGGUGAUCUGAGCUGUGGCAGAUGCCCUUAGAAGGGCUGUCCCCCAAGUAGGUGCUCACCACUGUCGGGUUGGACUAAAGCUGAGUGUAGCGGAUGAAGGCUGACUCAUGAAGAGUGUCUUUGACCCGUUCUGAACCAAACUAGUAACUAGGCUUGACCCCUUCUAAAGCAAAUUGCACUGUUAACUAGGGCUAGCAUAUUUAGUGACGUUUUGGUAUAAUUUCAAAUGUUUUCUGUUUGUUGCCCACUAGACUUUAGAAUCCUGAAGAGUUUUGAGUGUAGAUAAUAAAUUUAUGAAGAGGGCUUGGUGGUGUGAUUGCUGAGCUAAACAUUCCAUGUUUUUACCUGUGUGCAUUAUCGUAAUUUAGCCCUAAUAAGUACUAGUUAAACCUAGAAAAGAGAUUGCAUGUUUUAAAGUGCACAAAGACUUUUGGAUGAAAUGUGAGAUGUAGCUAAAGACCAGGAACUUUAAAAAUAGUUAAGCUUCUCUGCUCUAAUCAAGGAUCAACCUUGACUGAUAGCCUAAUGAUGUAUGGUCUUGAAUGAAACUCUAUCCUCUACAUAGCUGAGCCUGUUGCUUAUACAUAAUCUCUAGCACUUUCCAGGCUUCAAUUUGUGAUAAUUUUUUGUCACUGUCAUAACAAAAACAGUGGGUAUACAGAAGUAUUUUCAAUGUGUAUAUUUCACUUCCAUAAAUACGGAAAACAUUAUCAAAGUAUGCUUUCUGAUCCUUUUUUUUUUUUUUCUAACAAGCCUAAAGGCUUAUUCUUUUCUAUUGUGAGCUUUUCAUGCCCCAUUUUUAUAUCUCCAAACACAAAUGAUGUUUGACAAUAAUACUACUGGUAAAUGUUGAUAGUUGAAAGUCCUGCUAUUUGUGUCCUCUGUUAGGUUGACCUGGGUAAUAUGACGUGACUUCUCUUAUGCCAGCUAACUGUGAUAGUGGGCUUCUCCUAUAGCAGUACAGCUGUUGAUCAGUAAGAGAUCUGCGAAUGUCAGAGUUGGAGAGAUGGGGAGAACGAGUUUCAGUUUGAUCAUUAAAAGGCACAGAAUGCUUUCGUCCUUUUGGUAAGAUGCAGUUAAAAUUUUAAAACAGACGGAGCGUUACUUUUUUUGUCUGUGGCUGUUUUUCAAACUGACCAGGGUAGUUGGGGAUGGCUUUAGAAGCUCAUGGAAACAUGUUUCAUAAUGACUAUCUAAAGUUUGUUUAUCCUAAUUACUGCACUUGUUUGACUGCACCAGUGUGUGUAGUUCUCAGGUUGUCUACCUGAAUGUGGUAAGUGGGCAAGGUGAUCAGCGACCAGUGGAUGGAAGCAGUUGGUAUUGCUCAGCUCUCGAUUUCUGGUGCAACUCUUAGCCUCCAUUCUUGUUUGUGUGCUUUAGGUGGUCCACUGGUAUUACACUGAGACCUCCUCAGCAACUGGCCAACAGACUCGGUUCACCACUCCUGUGAGAAUUGCUGUUGAGGAGUAAAUUUGUGUUUGAGUGAUUAUGUAUUUUUUUAUGUAUUAUUAUGUUGAUUAACAAUGUUAAUUGUUUUAAAUAAUAGUUUUGAUACUUUGAGGUAAGCUUUUUGUGGUUUUUUGUUUGAGUUUUUUGGUAACUAAAUAUUAUACAAGUAUUUUUUGGUGAUGAUUUUAGUAAUUUUAAUUUUUGUGGUUUAACUGUAAUUUGGGUAAGAGUGUAUAAAUUGUUUUUUAAGUUUAUGGUAUGUAUUGGAUUAUUUGAUUUACAAUUUAAAUUUUGUGCGGGGUAAGGUUAGUUGUUAAGAGGUAUACUAACAACGUAUGUAGAAAAUGGAUUUUUAGGAUUGGUGAUUGAUAAACACUGUAUUUGGAUGUGUGGUUUUAGUUAGUGUUGCUUAUUAGUUUUGUUUUGUUUUGGUUGUAGAACUAUUUAUGAUGUGUUUUAAAGUCUUGUAAGUCUUGUACUUGAGUAGGGUUUUGAAACUCUGAUUUUGACAUCAAAGAAGAAAAAUGAGUAAACGAAGGAGGUAGAGAAGUUUUCUCCUUAUGGGAUAAAAAGGGUUUAACAUAGAAA